GAUGAACGCUGGCGGCGUGCCUAAUACAUGCAAGUCGAGCGAACGGACGAGAAGCUUGCUUCUCUGAUGUUAGCGGCGGACGGGUGAGUAACACGUGGAUAACCUACCUAUAAGACUGGGAUAACUUCGGGAAACCGGAGCUAAUACCGGAUGAUAUUUUGAACCGCAUGGUUCAAAAGUGAAAGACGGUCUUGCUGUCACUUAUAGAUGGAUCCGCGCUGCAUUAGCUAGUUGGUAAGGUAACGGCUUACCAAGGCAACGAUGCAUAGCCGACCUGAGAGGGUGAUCGGCCGCACUGGAACUGAGACACGGUCCAGACUCCUACGGGAGGCAGCAGUAGGGAAUCUUCCGCAAUAGGCGAAAGUCUGACGGAGCAACGCCGCGUGAGUGAUGAAGGUCUUCGGAUCGUAAAACUCUGUUAUUAGGGAUGAACAUAUGUGUAAGUAACUGUGCACAUAUUGACGGUACCUAAUAAGAAAGCCACGGCUAACUACGUG
rnacentral:rRNA from 1 species